UUUGGAUAAACUAACAACGGCAGAACUGAACGUUGUGAGAACUUCACUGUUCAAAGCUAUUGCACAAGGACAUUUUGAAUUUGUUAAGAAAAUGUAUGUUGAAAACGAGGCAGUCCUGGACAUCUUUGAUGACAAAAAGAAGAGUAUAAUUCAAUAUGCCAUUGAAUGUCGGCAAGAAAAGGUUUAUAAUCUUAUAUAUAAGCUCAAGGGACGACAUUACUCAUAAUAUCGCAAAGUUUAAGACUAAUAUGCUACAUAGUGCUGCACACAUAUCAUCUGCUAAACAUCCGAAGCAUGUCAGGAUGCAAGUUUGCAAAUGCAACGAGAACUACAGUGGUUCAAGGAGGUGGAGAGUAUGUUACCUAGUGAAAUGCAUGAGUACGUCAAUUAUUCAAACUUGACAGCACGAGAACUAUUCAUCAGGAAUCACAAGAAAUUGAAGGAUGAAGCAGAAAUAUCUACCAAAGGGGUUGCAGCUUCUUGUACAACCGUUGGUGCUCUUAUUGUUACUGUGAUGUUCGCCGCAGCAUUCACAGUUCCCGGUGGGACUAAUGGCGACACCGGUCUUCCUGUUUCUGCAUAACAAGUUGUUUAGGAUUUAUAUACUCUCAGAUACAAUAUCACUCAUUUCCUCUGCGGCUUCAGUGAUUACGUUCUUGGGACUUCUCACAUCAACUUAUGCAGAAGACGAUUUCCUUC